AACUAAGUUUGUUAUUGGUAUGAGCUUUCGUGUGCAUGCACACUUCUUCAGAUACACACUGAAGAAGUGUGCAUGCGCACGAAAGCUCAUACUAGAAGGAAUUUUGAAAU
rnacentral:miRNA from 1 species